AUCACAUGUUAACCCCACCCUGGUUAUUCAUUUACCUUACAGUACUGUAUAGUUGGGAAUUUUGGUUCGUUCUGACAUUUUGUAAACAAACUAUGUAAAACUGACGUUUGUGAUGUCACUGGAUAAAGGAGUAAACAUGUGAUAAAUUGUAAUAUGACAUGUAUAUUACAUGAAUUUAUAUUAGCAUUUUUCUACUCAAAAAUUUACACAUAUUUGUAGUUAUAAGAGGGCAAGUAAAACGGACGUUAAGUGUAGUUGGGUCAAACAUCCCAAGUCAGCGCCACCUAAGGAAACAGUAACUAUGCAGGAGCUGUAUCCAUCAAAUCAGCCUAAUUACACGUACAUAUUUCAGUUAUGUUUUUGAUAUUGAUUAAAAUUAUGUUCUCCAUUAAACAACUAGUAUCAUUUGCAGAUUGCUCAAGCAUUAUUACUUGAAUUUUUUUUUGUAAUCGAAGAAGUCGAGUCUGUAUGAUCCCUUAAAAAAAACAAGAAAGUUUUAAGUUGUUAUGCUUUUUUUUUUUUUUUUUUUUUUUUUUUUUUUUUUUUAUAAAUCAGAGCACUCAAAAGAGUUGUAACGGAUGACGACAGGUUAUUUUUGCAUAAUCAACUCGGCCAAUUGGGGCGCUUUACAGGUUGUUUUCAUCUUUCUGAAAACAGUUUCCUUGUUUAUGAGCAGUUUUCCUGCUUAGGACUGACCAAGAGUUUUGCAUGUCUUUUUUUCUUUUUAGUUAUUAAUAAGAUUUACUUGACAGAUGUUGUUGACAGAUUUUAGUAUUGAUUGAUUUUAAUUUGUAUGCAGUAUUUGCAUUGUUUAUUCCAGAAUUAUUGACAUGUUUUAUUUUCCAUUAUUUGAAAUACUUUAAUAAGAAUUUCACUGAAAGUAUUGUAUUUGGAAGUAAUAGAUGAUUUGAACAUAUCUUAUUUUAUAAAUAGACAAAUGGAUUGGUUACAAGUUCUAGCAACUUAGAAUUAAAUGGGGGAAAACUCCUUGUUUAGUUUGUAAAGAUAAAUACAUUCAAUUCUCUACACAAUAUUUUCAUGAACAUGUAAAAAAAGUUUUUUUUUUUUUCAUAAAUGCAAAUGCUUUUUUCAAUGUUCUUUCUUUUCUUAAAAGCUCUGCAUUGGAUUUUGUCAAAGGAACCCGAGAUUGAGGCACUACCUCUACCAAUUGUUGAGGACCUUUUGUGCCAGGAGUACCUUACAGCAAAGGAGCCACUCUCAUGGCUGAGGCAGCAACUGAUCGUUUCACCUGAUAGAAUAAUACAAACAGCCUUCCUCACAAUUGGACAGAGAGAUAAUGCUACCUGGGCAGCAGUAAGGAAGCAUAGAUUUACUGCUUCUAAUUUUGGACCAAUCAUUGCAGCUGCAAAGCGCAAUAGGUUAAAUGUCUCCUUAAAGAAAAGGUUAUUGAGUGCCUACAACUUAGAAAAAAGAGCCCCCAUCCAGUGCGGUGUUACACAUGAGAGUGUUGCUAUAAAGGAAUACUGCAAAGAAGGGGGUGUAACAGUAUUGCCAACAGGUAUAUGGCUUCAUGAGACAGGAGUCUUAGGGGCUUCACCUGAUGGUUUUGUGCAGGGAACUUUCAAAGACAGUUUGAAUGUGCACCUCCAACAUGCUCAGAGGAAAACGUUGCCCGACAUAGUGGAGGUCAAAUGCACUUUUUUCAGCUAAGGACUUGACUGUUGCAGAUGCAUGUAGUACAAUCAAGGAUUUUUACUUAGUCAAAGAGGAAGAUGGUAACAUUACUUUGAAAAGGACACAUGACUACUGGCAUCAGAUACAAGGACAGCUUCAUUUGUCUGGAACGCAAUGCUGUGACCUUGUCAUUUGGACUCAAGUGGACUUGGAAAUUAUUAGAAUAUUGAAAGACAACACAUGGGCUCAAAACAUUUCAACAAUGCUAGAUUUUUAUUUCUCAGAUUUUCUUCCAUCUUUAUCAGAAUGAUUUGCUAAAUAUAUCAACACUACAAAUUUAUAAUAUAUGAGAAAUUUUCAUUUGACUUGAUGUACAUAUAUAUCUAAUAUAAUAUAUAACUUUUGCUCUCAUUCAGCUUUAGUGUUCUUUUUUU